rnacentral:rRNA from 1 species
CGACUUGGAGGUUGUGCCCUUGAGGCGUGGCUUCCGGAGCUAACGCGUUAAGUCGACCGCCUGGGGAGUACGGCCGCAAGGUUAAAACUCAAAUGAAUUGACGGGGGCCCGCACAAGCGGUGGAGCAUGUGGUUUAAUUCGAUGCAACGCGAAGAACCUUACCUGGUCUUGACAUCCACAGAACUUUCCAGAGAUGGAUUGGUGCCUUCGGGAACUGUGAGACAGGUGCUGCAUGGCUGUCGUCAGCUCGUGCUGUGAAAUGUUGGGUUAAGUCCCGCAACGAGCGCAACCCUUAUCCUUUGUUGCCAGCGGUUAGGCCGGGAACUCAAAGGAGACUGCCAGUGAUAAACUGGAGGAAGGUGGGGAUGACGUCAAGUCAUCAUGGCCCUUACGACCAGGGCUACACACGUGCUACAAUGGCGCAUACAAAGAGAAGCAAUCUCGCGAGAGCCAGCGGACCUCAUAAAGUGCGUCGUAGUCCGGAUUGGAGUCUGCAACUCGACUCCAUGAAGUCGGAAUCGCUAGUAAUCGUGAAUCAGAAUGUCACGGUGAAUACGUUCCCGGGCCUUGUACACACCGCCCGUCACACCAUGGGAGUGGGUUGCAAAAGAAGUAGGUAGCUUAACCUUCGGGAGGACGCUUACCACUUUGUGAUUCAUGACUGGGGUGAAGUCGUAACAAGGUAUC